rnacentral:lncRNA from 10 species
CAGCUGGAGCAGGCUCUGUGGCUGCAAUCUGGUGAGCUGGAGACGCAAGAGCCCAGGGGGCUGGUACUCCAGAGCGUGGAGUUGCGGAGGCAGCUGCAGGAGGAGCAGGCCUCCUAGUGGCGCAAGCUGCAGGCCUACCUGGAGGGCCAGCAGCGGCAGGCCCAGCUUGUGCAGCGGCUGCAGGGCAAGAUUCUCCAGUACAAGAAGAGGUUCUCGGAGCUGGAGCAGCUGUUGGAGAGAUCCGGAGAGCUGGAGCAGCAGCAGCUGAGGGACGCAGAGCACAGCCAAGACCUGGAGAGUGCCCUCAUCUGGCUGGAGGAGGAGCAGCAGAGGAGUGCCAGCCUGGCCCAGGUGAAUGCCAUGCUCUGAGAACAGCUGGACCAGGCAGGUUUGGCCAACCAGGCUCUGAGUGAGGAGAUACGAAAGGUGACCAGUGACUGGACUCGCAGCUGCAAGGAGCUGGAGCAGUGGGAGGCGGCAUGGAGGCGCGAGGAGGAG